rfam:Anopheles arabiensis strain DONG5_A unplaced genomic scaffold supercont1.10, whole genome shotgun sequence.
CUUAGUUUGCGUACUGCUUAAUCCUUUGUUCCUACCCAAUACUCAAUACUCUCAAUUAUCCAUGUAAGGGUAUACGGGGAAACCCAACGCCUUGGGUGGAUGGAUUGCAUGGCUAAAUUGAGAGGG